UCCCAUUUAAAAAAAACACAAAAUCUCCUCUAUAUCCCUAAGACAAUAAUUAAUGUCUUAUUGAAUGGGAUACCCUAUCAUAGUAUAAGGAAUACCUUAUACUAUGACCCUAUAUAUAACUUGAUUACAAUUAUACAAUGGACACAACAUUAAUUAAAUGUGUUAUUUUUUGACAUCAGGAGAAAAUACGACAAAUUAAUGUGCCUAUGUAUUGAAGUUAUCAAAAAGUUUUGGAGUUCAUUCAAUACUAUGGAGUAGAGAUGUUUUUUUUGAGGCAUGGAAUGCCUCAUUCAAUUUAGUUUAUAACCAUAUAACCUCAAUGUCUAUAACCUAAAAUUUAAUAUUUAUUGUAGUUUGUAGUGCAAGUUGAUUUUAUUUUUUGAGUUAUCAGCGGAUAAGUUUUCCAAAUGGCCAAACGAGUUAUAUUCUUAGAAACAGAUUGCCACAAGUUAAUAGAUAUUAUAAACCAUUUCAAACAUGUGAUAGAGUGCAAAAAAACAGAUAGCGCAACAUGGAAAGAUAAGAUCGCCGCUUGGAUUCAUAUUGCAGAAGUUUAUAACGCAUCAACUACUGAUCCUCGAACAUGGGAACAAUUAAGAUGUAAAUACGAUAAUUUGAAGAAAGAUGUUCGUAGACAUAGAGCCAAGUUAAAACAGAACCUGUUACAGGCAGGUGGUGAUAAAAUUAUAUUGAGAAAAUCGACUGAACAACUUUACGACAAAGUAUACAAAAUCAUUUCAAUGUCAGUGGAUGAUUUACCAUCAUGUAAGAGUGACAGCGAUGAAGUUGAAUUCAGGACUAUUGAUAAAGGUUAUGAGAAACUUUUAGUACUUGCAGAUUCAAAAGAAGAGCGUUUCUCUUCAGCAAAAAAUUGCCAUUUCGAUUCAGUCAACGAUACCUUUUACCCUGUUGUUGUGGAUCCUACUGCACUAACUGAAGAAGUUACCUGCACCUCAGAAGAAACUACAGAACCAUCCUCAACACCUGCAAGUGUAUCAAGUAAUAAAAAAAUUAAAGAUUGCAGAAACCACACUCUCAAGAUACCCAGAAGAAAGGAUCUCCGAAGCAAUAAAAGUAAAGAGAAGAAAGAACUUCACGAAAUAAAAAAAAAACUUCUGCUAGAGGAACUUCGUAGGAAUAUGGAAACCCAUAAAAUGAAGAUGAAAAUGGAAAAAGAGCUGCAUGCAUUGAGAAUCAAGGAAUCAAUUAGCAAAGAGAUUAGUAAAUUGGAGAAGAAGAAGAAGGAAUUGAACAAAAUGAUUUUAGAGAACAGAGAUAUAAUGGAAGAGUGUGAAGAUGAAGCGACUACAGUUCCUGAAGAGCAACAAACACCUCAACGAAAUUCUAUGCCAACAAAUAUGCUAAAAAGAAUUGAUAUACCUGAAAUUUUACAUGCGAAUAGGCAAAUGAAAGAGGGGUUUGAGCAUUUGAAAGAUAGUAAAAACGAUGAAUAUGAAAUGUUUGGAAAAUUAAUUGCUAGCAAAUUGAGGACAAUCAAAAACCUAAAUACAAGAGAUAUUCUAAUGAAUGAUAUGCAUUACAUGGUACUCCGAGCAUGUAUGACAGAUAGAAUGAUGCUACCUCAUCAUAAUCAAAUACAUCAAUCUCCUUUAUGUUCAAUAUUUCAUUCGCCACUAAAUCGAAUUAACCAACCAUGUCAUCCAACGUUAUCUGGUCCACCACAAAACCAAAUGAAUGAGGUUUCACCGGAUUCAAUGUCAUCUCAGUCAUUGCAGAAUCAUGUCUACCUAUCUCAUACCGAUUCAACGCGAUCAGUUACCCCAACACCAAGCCCAACAGACUACAAACCAUCCAUAGAUAUCGAUAUCACAGAUUCAUGUCUAGUAUCAAACUUCCCUUUCAAAGAAGAUAACGAAUAGACAGCAAUAACAAGGUCGGUACAUUGUAGUAUACAUCACCAAGUAAAGAAACUGUAACGGUUAGAAUUAAUAACAACUGAUGUUUCGAUUGGUAAUGCGCCCUCUGGACAUUGGCUGUUAUUUCAGCUUGGAGUAUUUCAAAUUUGAAUUUAUUAUAACACCUAUUUCUGGAUAAAUAAGAUCAAAUGUCAUUGCCAUUGGGAAAUAUUUUAUAAUUUUUGGAUUUCUUGUUAUUAUUUUUCUUCUGUAUGGAAAGUUCUGGUAUACUCUGUGGUUAGGAAUGAAACUACCGGUAAAUUGUCAAAACGAGGUUAUCGGUGAUUUUAGAUAAUUUUGAGAUUGAAAGCUGUUGGAAAAAAAUUGAACUAAAAUGGAGAAUAUAUGAUCUUCAUCAUCCUUGUAAUAGGCGAUUAUAUCUCCAAUUUGAAUAAAUCCCAGUUCAGUUUAUGGUGUUUGGAAUAUUUCUGGGAAAUACAUUUUAUACAUGAUUAUGAAAAUUUUCUCCCUCAAGGACCAUUUCUUGUAUUGAAUUUACCCUGAAGAUCUGAGAGUUCGAAUAACUGUUGGACUUACACGAAGAAUAGCAAGAAGAUUCUUUCCUUUGAACAACAACUGAAUGGGUUCUAGUGCCUGGUUAAAUUGGACAAUUCUAGCACCUGGUUGGAUUUGAGAAUUCUAGUGUCUGGUAUAUAGUACAGUUCUAUUAGUACAUGAUUUUCUGGUAUAUGGUGGUCAAUUUCUGGUACAGUUCUGGUGGAUGGUACAUUCUGAUAUUUGGUUCAGUUCGAGUGAAUAUUAUAUUCCUGGCAUAUGGUAUAGCUUGAAUAGAUGGUACAUUCUACGUAUUGAGUUUUGAUUCAGAAAGCUUUGAUUCUUCUGUCUUUGCUGCUUAUGCUCCUACAGCUGGAAAUAAAUCAUUUAUAUAACAUGUUAACAGAAAUUAAAAUGACUGAAUAUUAUUAAAAAAUAUUAUUUAAUUAUAA